rnacentral:rRNA from 1 species
CAGCCGCCGCGGUAAUACGAAGGGGGCUAGCGUUGUUCGGAAUUACUGGGCGUAAAGCGCACGUAGGCGGAUAUUUAAGUCAGGGGUGAAAUCCCGCAGCUCAACUGCGGAACUGCCUUUGAUACUGGGUAUCUUGAGUAUGGAAGAGGUUAGUGGAAUUGCGAGUGUAGAGGUGAAAUUCGUAGAUAUUCGCAGGAACACCAGUGGCGAAGGCGGCCCGCUGGACAAGUAUUGACGCUGAGGUGCGAAAGCGUGGGGAGCAAACAGGAUUAGAUACCCCCGUAGUCCCUGUCUCUUAUAC